ACUCAUUCUUUACAUGUUACUUUUGUGCUGCUACAGUGUUAGAAGUAAGCGGUUGUGACAGAAACCAUAUGGCCCCUAAAGCCUAAAAUAUUUACUAUCUGGACUUUUACAGAAAACGUUUGCCAGCCCCUGCCCUGGCCUCUGGCUCAGCCCUGCCACUAACGUGCUGUGCAAUCUGGGGCAAGAGGCCACACCUUUCUGGGCCUCCUCACUUGUAAAAUGGGGCGGGACCCCGGGAGAGACAGUGCUCACCAAGAAUUCAGGAACAAGCCGGGCUUGUUGGGGACACUACAGAGGACACCCCAGGAUUUCCGGGUGGACCAACAGGGAGGCUCCGCAGAGGGGCUCUGAGCUGGGCUGUGAUGGGAGAGGAUUUCCACAAAGACAGGGCUGGCACUGGGGACAAGGAAGGACCAUCUGCUCAAGGCACGACGCUGAUCACCGAAGGUUACAGCAUUCUUAUGCUGACGAGACAUUUUUGUAAGCUUUUGUGUAAACCAGCUUAUUAAAGGUUAUCAACAGACUAAAAGUUAGCAUCCACUGACUGUCUACCGAAUGCCAGACACUAUGCUAGGGGCGCUGUAUACUUAGGUCAUUUAGUCCUCAAAGAGUAUGGUAGGAACUCUUUUUUUUACAGCUUUAUUGAGAUAUAAUUCACUUACCAUAAAACUCACCCAUUUAAAGCGUACAAUUCAGUGGCUUUUAGUGUAUUCACCGAGUUCGGCAUCCAUCACCGUAAUCAAUUUUAGAAUGUUUUCAUUACCCCAAAAAGAACCCUCAUACCCCUUGACCAUCCCACUCUAAUUUCUCCAUCCCCCAGUCCUAGGCAACCAGGAAUCUCCUUUCCGUGUCAUGGAUUUGCCUACGCUGGACAUUUCGUAUCAAUGGAAAUGUAUAACAUGUCGUCUUUUGCGUCUGGCUUCUCUCACUCAGCUUAAUGUUUCCAAGGUUUGUCCGUGUUGUAACAUAUAUCAGUACUUUGUUCCUUUUAAUUGCUGAAUAGUAUUUCAUUGCAUGGAUAUACCACAUUUUUUUAAGCUAUUCAUCAGUUGAUGGACAUUUGAGUUGUUUCUACUUUUUGGCUAUUAUGACUUCUGCUGCUAUGGACAUUCAUGUACAUGUUUUUGUGCGGACGUGUGUUAUUAUUUCCCUCGGGUGUGUAGCCCAGGAGCGGACUUGUUGGAUCAUAUGGUAACUCGACAUUGAACUGAUUGAGGAUAAGGUAGGAAUUUUUGUCUCCACUUUAGCACUGGGGAAACUGAGGCUCAGAGAAGUUAAAAGAGCCACCCAAGAUCCGAGAACACAGCAGGUUUAAACUCAGGCCAUCCAACACCUCUUGCCUCUGAAUAUAUAUAUAAAACAGAACAGAGGUCUCUUUUAACCAUUUAUUUCCCUCUUAAAAUAUUCAUUCCUUGAGAGCAGGGCCCUUUGUCUGUUUUAUCUGAUAUCCCCAAAAUUCUAGUGCCUAGAAGAGGCUAGACACUUAGUAGGUGAUCAAUAAAUAUUGUUAAAUGAAGGGGAGAACGCGUCAGUAUGGAAGAUGCCAAGGUGGGGGAAUGAGGUUAUGGGGAAUUCCCGAGAUUUCUGUUGGGUCCAGAGUGGCACCAGACCUGGUGCCAGCAUGAAUUUUUCAGACUCAGAGCUGGCUCCAGCACCCUGAAAGGGACGUGCUCUUCCCCUGCAGCCGGCCUUGAAAGGCACGCCGCCGGUAGUCUCCAGCGGCCCGACAGGUUCCUGGAAUUCUGUGCCUGGGAGACAGUCUAUUCAUGGAAAGGCAAGGAGCUGCCUUCUGUGAGUUCAUGAUCUAAAAAAGGAAACUGCUGUCUGCGGGUAAGAAAAGGAUUAGAAGCUCAAGGCCUCUACUUCCUUGGAAGGCAUUUUCUGCCCAAGUGAGAUGGCCCUGGGCCCCUGUUUGGGGAGGGCUGAGACUGGGGAGAUGCGUGCCCGUGGAGGAGGAAACCUUGUCUGGGAGCCGAAACAAAGGGCUGAGAGACGGGAGGGCGUGUGGAUGGAGGGCUGGCGACAGCCUUGCUCCGGCAGACACAUGAAAGGGCUCAGAUUCCUGGAAAAAGCCAGCCGCUCCCUCUGCUUCCAGAGAUCUUGAGAAAGAUACAGCAAGCCCAGCCCACCUAAAGAGCCCAGCCAAUUUUCCGAAUAACCCUAAAAUACUCUUAAACAUCUAUUGAACAAACCACUAAGGAUUUCUACAUAAUGUGAAGGAUUGACCUCAGUGGAUGUUAGUGACGCACAAUGGGACUACAGUGUUGGACACACAUUCUAGCGUCUGCCAGUGAAGAGGAACCGGUGGACGCCUCCUCUUCCCGACACUUCAGACUCAGGCAGCACGUGGCAGUGACCCAGUGCUGAAGCGGAGAUGAAUCGUUGGGAUGGAAUAAACCAAAGUAGCUGUCUGCUUGCUUUUCCUAUGCUGACAGUCCUUCAGCUCUGGGCUCCAGGCUCUGCUCAGUGCACCGUCAGUGUGAUCCAUCUGCUCGAGUCACAACCAUGCUCACCUGGUCACCGUCGGUGUGCCUGCCUGGCACGGGCAUGGGGGAUGACGGGCACAUCGUCAUGGUCCAGCUCGUUCCCUUCAAGUGCCCCCUCGUCCCGCCCGACUUCUGCUCCUCCCACUGAAGGAGGGCCUUUCGAGGCCACUUAAGCUCGCCCACUUCCAUCACAGGUUUUCCAAUUUCCUAGAAGGUAUUUUCACUUAACACGUGAGGAAGAUGCCAGCAAUAAUGCGUUUGAACAAUGCAAUAAAAGGGUGUGACCAAUGGAGAACAGACUGAAACAGGACUUUGGGGCCCCGCAUGCUCUCACCAGGGCUCCCUCAUGGCUUAAACAUUCUCACUGGUGCCCGAGCUGGCUCCUCAGGUCGGGGUUCCGUCAGGGCAGUGACCUUUGGGUAACAAUUCUGCAAGUCAUCACACUGAGUAUUCAGAUAAUGAGAGUUCAGAUUGCAAGGGAUACCCGAGCUUUAUCGGUUAUUUGUAAUUCCCACAACUGUUCAGCAAGGAAAGUCCUUGUUAUUCCUGCUUCACAGAUGGGGCCUCAGAGGGCUGGAGGAACCCGAAGGCAAUCAAGCCUGUUGACCCUCAGCCCCUGUUCUCCCACCACACAUGUGGCCCCGCCUACACUGGGCUCUGCUUCUCCACCCCGUCCCCCAAUCCCCUUUGGGCCAUGUGGGGAUUUUCUGUUGCCUUCAAUCUCUCCUUUGGCUCUCUUCUUCGCCCCCCACUAACCCCACAGCCCUCAGUAGCCGCCCUUCUCUUCCCAGCAGGCACAGAACAUUACUACCUGCCUAAUCCCGUGCUACUUUGCCCCUAAAAAACAAAAGGUGGGGGAAGACAUACACAGCCAAGCGAGCCCUGGCUCCCUCUUCUCCAGCCUGCAGAGGAGGGCGCUGCCCCCCGGAGAAGAAACAUACAGCCCAGCCCCAACCCCGCAGUCCCUGGGCAGAGGUCUGUGACCCCCACCCCUCGGUGACCAGGUGUCCUCUGACCUCGCUGGACGGAGCAGAGGAUGCUUUGGUCCUCUCUGCUCUGUCCUAGACAACCUGCUUCACGCCACGCCUUCGGUUACUACUUCUAAGUGGAUAAGUCUCCACGUGCAGCCUAGAAGCUCUCUCCUGAACCUCAGGCCCCUCCCUGGAUUCCCAACCCCACAGGGCUGCGACCUCAGCAUCCUCUUCAGGUUUCAGUGCCCAUCCGGUCCCUUCUCCUCCUUCACUCUGCACAUCUCAUCGAUGACCAAGUCUGCUGACUCUGCCUUGAAAACGUCUUUCACAGCCAUCCCUCUCUCUGUGCUGAGACCCCCAGCUCUGCUCUAGGCUCUCCUGGAGACCACCGCAACAGCUUCCCUCCUGGUCCUGCCUCCUCGGUCCAGUUCACCCCUUCAUGGCAGCCAGAGUAUCUACUCUAAACUCUGCUCUGAUCGUGCCAUCCCCCUCUGCUUAAGAUCGUUUAGUUCAUCAGAAACCCCAAAUGUGAUUAAAUUAGGCAAGAAUCAAUUUACUGUUAGGACGCUGGACGAGCUCAACUAAUUGUGGAAAGGGCAGGAAUGGAGACCAGGCCACCUCCACUCAAAUUCCACUGGGAUUCUCAGCUGAGGCUCUGUAUUUCUGCUUUCCUGAUAUCCUGAUUUCAUUCUCUCCUAAUUCGCAUCAGUUUCCCCCAUGGGAUGGCAACAUGGCACCUGCCAUUCCCAAGCCUUAUCUUCUCUCUGUCACCACCAGCACCAUCUGCCACUUUGCCUCUAGGUUUAAAAAAACCCCAGGGACACUCACUUGAAUGAGGUGCCCACCCCUGGACCAACCAACUGUGGCCAGGCAGUGGGGCCGUGCAGCAAGGGAACGACCACGUCGGGCCCAUCCCUGCGUAUCAGGGCCUUCCUCGAGCUGAGGGAGACUCAGAGAGGUAGGCAGCCGCCCUGAUUGGUGGUGUCUGCUGCAAACGGUUCUCACUCAGGUUAGUGUUCAUCUUACUUUAAGUCGGGGAUCACAUGCCCCUUUGAGAAUUUGAUCAAAGGCAUAGAUCUCCCUAGAAAAAUAAACAUCCUUACAAAAUUUGCAUACCAUGUCAGGAGAUUUGUAGACCUUCUGAAGUCCAGUCUAUGGACCUUAAGUUAGGAACACCUGCCUUGAAAUAAAAGUCCUUUGCCCAGUGUCCAAGGCCUGGCACGAUCUGGCUGCACCUCUCUGCGCGGCCCCCGGCCUGGGCACCUAGCCCGCAGCCACGCCCAACUCCUCACACGUGCGGGGCGCUUCACGGUUCAGUCCGUGCUUCCCCAGCCCCACGCCACGCUUUCAGUUCAACCUGCAGAACUCAGCUCGUGGGUCGCCUCCUCCGGGAAAACAUCCCUGAUUCCGGUCUGCCCCGGCUGAGUUUCUAGAUUCAAUUGCCUCUACACACCCCCAAGCAUCAUUACAAACAAUUCCUGGUAAGGCUUGAAAAACAUCUGGAAACUUUCCACAUAGUAACAGAGGCACAGCGCGCCGACGUUUACGGAAAGCAGUUCUUGCCCAGCUCCCGGUAGAUGUUGCUGUGUUCUGGGUGCAGCAGCGCAAAUACAGCCCACCGCCUGUCUCUGUAUGGCCUGGGAACUAGGAAGAGUUUUUCCAUUUGUAAACAGUUGGGAAAAAACUCAAAAUAAUAAUAAUAUUUUGUGACACAUGAAUGCUAUGUGAAAUUCAAAAGCAGUGUCCACAGACGAAGUUUUAGUGGACACAACCACGCUCGUUCAUUUACGUGCUGUCCAUGGCUGCUUUCACACUACAACAACAGAGAAGUUGUGACAGAGACCUUGUGGCCCUCAAACCCCAAAUAUUUACUAUCUGGACCUUUACAGAAAAAGUUUGCUGGCCUCUAUUCUCGAUACUCUGAAGAGCUACCAUAUUUUAUUGACAGUAAGAUGCCAAUGAAUCACAAUAUCAGAAAUGUUAAAAUUUCAGGGGGAAAUGGCUGUUUGGAACUGACUAAAUAAAUUGCUCUUGAAUGCUUUUUAUGUGCCGAACAAUAUGUUAGUUAUUUUAUGUUCAUUUUCCUAAUUAAUGAUUCCUAAUUAUUUAUUAUCCCUAACGAAACUUUUCCCAAGAGGAAAGAACUAUUAUGUCUAUGCUAUAGAAGAGGAAACAGCUCAGAGACAUUAAGUAACUCGCCCCAGGCCACACAGAGGAAUCAAAGCCUGACUUUUUUCCACUCCACCAAACUGCUCUCUGACUCAGUGCCUGUCCAGAUCCUUGGUGCCUUCCCCCCAAGCUGGGCUUCCUCCAUAAUCAAGAGCAACCUGAAGGUCCUCCCGCCCACGAGGCUCUGCGAAUGCUGCCUCCUCUGCUGGCACACCCCUCGCCCCCUCCUCCUUCCCUGCCCGGCCGAGGCGUCACUUCCCAAAGUGGAUGGGUGCCCUCUUUGUGCUCCCAGCAGAGUGCCAGCUUCUCGCUCUUUCUCCGUGACUAGACCGUGUUCUGCAGAGAUGGGAAACUUCCAUCCCCGUAAGCCAGCACCUAGCACAGUGCGUCACUCAGGGCAGGCACAUCCAGCACGUGGACUGUCUGAGCGAGGGAGGAACGGAGGGACGCUCACACCAAGCACAAGAGGAUGAACAUUUUUAAACUACACCAUAUGGUCCACUUGGUUCCUGGUUCUCAAAGCCAGCCUCACCCCCUCUGCCUCCCACACUUCACAGACCCUCAAGGUGAGCAGCGAACACAGCUGGCGCCAGAGGACUCGCCCAGAGAGCUCUUUUCUCCAGAAGCCACUCCACAUGAAUGUCAUCUCCCAGCUCUGCUCCCCUGGGACCCAGCUCUGUUCUCCACCUUUUCUGUCUCUCGUCCUCCUGCCCAGCAGCGCAUUACUCCCUCUCUGGUCUGACGUUACCGCCGUGAUCUCGGGGGCCAAUCAGAAGGAUGCUGCUCAAAGCUCCCCUCCGACUCCCAGUUCUGCACUCAGAGAUCCCCUCCAGAGGCCUGGGGACUCCUCCGCUGACCCUGGACUGAGCUCUGAGGAUCCAGGGGCACAGGUAUCUCCUGCUCACACCGCCAGCCCCUCCCCUUGGGCUCCGGGGAAGGGUUCUUCCCAGCCCCAGCCAAAGGCAGCGCCACAGCGUUUUUAAAUAUCACAUCACAACCAAGUUCAUUUUAUUUCCAAAAGGCAAGUUGGUUCAACAUUCAAAAAUGAAUCAGUGUAAAUCAGGAUUUCUUAACCUGGGCACUAGUGACAUUUUUGGUUGGAUAACUCUUUGAUGUGGGGGCUGUGCUGUCAUUGUAGAAUAUUUAACACCCAGCUUCUACUUACUAGGAUACCAGCAACACACACCCCCAGCUGAGCCAAUCACAAAUGUCACAGACAUUGUCACAUGUCCUCUGGGGGGCAAAACGCAAAGUCAGUCUAGAACCACUGAUAUCUUAAUAACAGAACAAAGGAGAAAAAUCUAUAAGAUUAUCCUGACAAAAGUAGAGAAAUCAUUUGAUAAAAUUCAAUUCCAGUUCAUGAUUUUAAAAAAAUGUUUUGCAAACUAGAAUAGAAGGAAACUUACUUAACCUGAUAAAAGGUAUCUACUCGAAAAAACUCUACAGUAACACACUUGCUAUGGAUGGAAUUGUGUUCCUCCAAAAUUCUUAUGCUGAAAUCCUAACCCCCAUUGUGGCUAUAUCUGGAGACAGGGCCUUCAGGAGGUAACUAAGGUUAAGUGAGAUCAUUAAGGUGGGGCCCUGGUCUGAUGGAACUAGUGGCCUUUUAAGAAGAGGAAGAGACACCAGAGAGCUCUCUCUCCUGUCAUGUGAAAACAGAGCAAGAUGGCGGCAGCCUACAAACCAAGAGAAGAGGCCUCAGAAGGAAGCUGCCUCGCCAGCAUCUUGAUGUUGGACUUCCCAGCCUUCAGAACUAUAAGAAACAAAUUUCUGUUGUUUAAACCACCCAAGCUAUGGUGUUUUGUUCUAGCAGCCACAGCUGACCGUUAUAAUCCUUAAUGGAGAAUAUUGAAAGCUUUCCCCCUGAGAUGAGGAAAGAGACAAGGAUGUCUGCCAACACUGAUUCUAUUCCAUUUUACUGGAGAGCCUAGCCAGGGAAAUAAGUAAGGAAAAGAAAUAAAAUGUGUAAGGAUUAUACAGGAAAAAAAUAAAACUCAUUGUCUGCACAUGAUGUGCUUGUCUGUAUAGCAAAUCCAGAAGAAUCUACAGAUGAACUUAGCAAGUUCACUAUACCCAAGGUCAGUAAACAAAAGUCAGCUGGUUGGGUUUUUCUAUAAACCAGCAGGAAACAAUUAGACAAUGAAAGUAAUGGAGACCAUAAUCACACAGCCUCUUCCCGCCCACUGGGCUACUGUGAGGGUCACGCUGGAUGGUUCCAGCUGAAAUAGCCUGAAUAUCAGUGCUUCCAGGGACAGAGGAGGCUCCCCGUGUCCUCGAGUCCUAGGGGGGAGGCUGGGCUGGCACUUGAAGGAUAGGAAACAGUGAGGAACAGGAACCUACAAACUCCAGUCCUGGUCACCUCUCCCCCACCUCCCACCCUGUGACCCUGCCACACGGGCCCCUUACCUGUCCUGUCCAUGUGCCUUUGCACAUCUGUUCCCCUUGUCCAGGAUGCCCUUCCCUUUCACUUCAUCCAGGGAACUCCCGCUCACCCUUUAAGACCCAACUCAGAUGUGCUCCUUUUGUGAACACUUCCCAACCUUUCCCAAGGUGUCCUCCAAGCUCUUCCACGUGGGCCCCUCAUUUCAGCAAACACGUGUUUUGUGUGUCCUGGGCGGUGUGAGAUUCAGAUGAAGCAGACACAGUCCCCACCUAUAAAGCCCCUCAGCAAUCCUCCACACUCUUGCUCUUCCUUUAUUGAUUGACCCAGUGCAGAAGGUCCAGGGGGACUCAGAGUCCCUGGAGAAUGGAAGGUCACUAGACGACAGGACCCCGGGCCCGUGAGCAACUGUGUGCAGCAGAGCCCUCCUCACACCCGGCCUGCACUGAACUGGGAGGUGAGCGAGAACUCGCGCUGGGAGAGCAGCCAGCAUCACUUACUCUAACACGCCCAGUGUCUGUCCCAGCUCCCGGGUCACACAGAUUAGAGCGGGAGGGCGACCCAGAGGCAGCUGAGGGCCAGGGUCCUGGGCAGGAAGAUAAGGAGGACAGCGGAGAAUGCCCCAGCCUGGGGGCCAAGGAUGGGGCCCUUCUCUGCAGCAGAGGUGACCUGGCACUAGCUACUUCCCCACGAUGCACCUCUGUUUCCUCAUCGGUCGAAUGAGGAUGGCAUCUCUGCCUUCUGUGGCUGUUCAGAGCCUCACAAGUCACCGAGGUACCGGGCUUCAGCCGUCUGCUGCUUCACAGAGGUUUGUGUCCCCUGCUCUGUAUUGCGUCCCCAUCAGCAGAGGGCAAAGCACGGCAGGUGGAGAAGGCACAUAAUAGCUGACACCCACAGAGCACUUAUGUGACAGGUGCUGUUCUAAAGCACUUUACAAAAUGAACUCACUUCAUUCUCACAGUGGCCCAUUUCAGAGACGAGGAAACUGAGCUACGGUGAAGGUAAGUCAGCCGACCAAGCCAGCGGUAGCAGGGCCGGGAUGUGAACCCACACAGUGUCUCCAGGCCUGUGCUCCUAACCGCAGUGCUGCACUUCUAAGCCGGCAGAGCCUGUUGACAAGGGACAGAAAGGGCCCCUGAUGCCAGGCACCUGGGAAGAGCUGCUUACAGCCCAAGCUGACGUCCAGUCUGCCCCGGCUGUGCAGACAUCAAGGAAAAGCCCGGCUCACUUGGCGUCUCUUUCCUGAGAACAGAAAGCAGACCAGGCCGUCUGCACAGAGAGGAGCCCAUCCCGGCACUUUAUUCAAGGAGAAGUGCACGGCGAGGUCCACCGCCCAAGAGGCCCUGACUCACCCAGUGGACGAUGGCUCUUGUUAUGGUUCUGCAAAGGCCCAGACCUGCAGGAAACCAUGUCGCUUCUGGAAGCAAUCUGACCCUGCUUCCUUGUGAAUUCCUAGGUUGGAGCACAGACUGCAGCCUCACUCACCACACCAGCCAACCUAAUGCCGGUGUGUUAACAGGCACUGGGCAGGUGCCAGAGGGCAUCUGGUUCCACCUGGGAGAGCUGAGCUCGCUGCUCUGAAUUCUUGUCAUCUUGGGCCGGCAGUUAGGACUCUCAGGGUCCAGCCCCAGACGGGCCACACGUUGGCCGUGAGACCUCAGGGGCAUCACUUAUGAUCCGGGGCCCAGGGAGGACCCAUCUCAGUGGGAGACUCCCCAGGCUGUGGGCGCCCGAGGGCAGCCACUGCCCCACAGUCGUCUUUGCCUCCCCAGCAGCCGGCGCGGGGCGGGGUGCAGAGUGCAAGCUCUGGACAUGUUGGUUGGAAGACUCCAGCUGAGGUGGUAGGGCUGGGUUGGAGGAGCUCAGAUUAAGAAAAAAUACAGUGCUACUUCCAUUUGUUCUUACUUCCUCCAGCAACUGUGUGAGAAAGGAAUGAUUAUUAUCCCCAUUUCCCAUUUUAGGAAAGCUGAGGUUCCGAGAAGUUCAGUGACUUGCCCAAGGUCACACAGCUGGUCAGCGGGCUGCACUCCUGGGCAACUGGCGGCUGCCAUCCAAACUGAGUUGUUGACCGAGGACCUUUGCUUUGGUCUUGGAACGCUAGCCUGUAUUUCCCAGGCUGGGGGCGGUUACAACACGGUAGAACGGGAAACACCACAGCACUCGAGUCACCUCGGAACUCGAGAAGACUAAGCCAGGGUUCCAUUUGUUCAGCAACACAAGAGAAUCUCAAAUUUGUCACGGGGAUGGAAAAUGAAAAGAAAGGAAAUCUAUGAGCGCCACCUGGUGGUGAGCCCCACCAUCACAGUCUAAUUGCGGUGCUCUGACAAUUGAGGACAGUCACACUGCGGUUCCCAGGCCACACGGGCCACAGGAAAAGUAGGGGCUCCAGUGACCUUCCCACGGCCGUGUCCCCAGGGCCAGGAGCCCAGUCUGACAGCCUCAGAGCAUUCACACAGGGUCUUCAAUGCCCCAGGGCCGAGCCCCCUGGGGCACCCUCAGACAGUCCCCCUGGGGGUCUCCACUAGGUUAUCUCUGGGGCCCAGAACUCCAGAGGUGCUGUGACAGGCUCUGUGCCAGAUGCUGGCUGCCUGGUGGACCCUAAAGCCUGAUCCGGGGGAUCCCAUGUGCUGCGCUCC